UAAGCCGCCACCCUCCUGUCCCAGAGGAGGAGAUGGCAAGAGGAGGGGACGGCUGGCUGGGCAUCCUUGCCCUAGGAGAAAUCUCGUCACUGUGCCUGGAAAGCUCUGAUAUAUAGCCGGCCAGUCAGAAGCCGGCUGGUGGCCUGAGACAACUGCAUCUGAAGUGGGGGCAGUCUUGGGGGACUGAAGCCUUAAGUCUGCAGAGUCUAACUCUACAUCCAGCCCUGACCUUGGGGGCCUGUGAUUCUCACCGAAGGCUGCAUGCACCAGGAUCCCCUCAGGAGCUGUUUAAAAAUGUGGAUUCUCAGCUGGGCGUGGUGGCUCACGCCUGUAAUCCCAGCACUUUGGGAGGCCGAAUCACUGAAGGUCAGGAGUUCAAGACCAGCCUGGACAACAUGGUGAAACCCCAGUCUCUACUAAAAAUACAAACUUUAGCUGGGGGUGGUUGCAGUCACCUGUAAUUCCAGCUGCUUGGGAGGUUGAAGCAGGAGAAUUGCUUGAACCCAGGAGGCAGAGGUUGCAGUGAGCCGAGAUCACACCACUGCACUCCAGCCUGGGUGCCAGAACGAGACUCUAUCUAAAAAAAAAAAAAAAAGGUGGAUUCUCAGCCUACCCCAGACCUGAUGCUAGGGACUCUUGGUUGGAAACCUAGCAGUCUGCAUUUCUAGCAGCUCCCUAGAGGAUUCUGAUCCAGGCAGUCUGCAGAGUAUAAAUGGGUAUGGUGGCCCCAGUGGAGUCCCUCACAAGUGUCUAGUUCCCUUUGGUUUUUUGUUGUCAGUGAGUGUUCAGGCGGAGGCCCCACCACUCCAGCACCCUAUCUGGAGGUUUUUCUUGGCAUUUUCCAAGAACUAAGGACUCGGCAUUUGGAGAUGAAUAAGCCGUGCAUGGCAGCACCAGUUUCAGACACCUGCCUUCCCCAUCUUCACACCCUGCUAAUGUUUACUGAGGCAUGAAACUGAUUUGCCCUCCAGACCCCAAACUGGGCAAUUUGCCCAGGCUCCACCUUUGUCACAGAGCAGGAGGGCACCAUGAGGACAUAAUGAAGCUGAGGUUGGAGGACUGGGGUGUUUACUGUCUUUUAUUACGGAAUUGGGAGGAACCAGUACAGGCUGCUCCAUUAGCUUGGGACCAUUUACUUCUCAGCCCAUCAUAGGCAUUGAUGGAGUGUAAAUAGGAGCAAGCUGCGGAAAAGGGGAUCAGUUUGGUAAAUUCUGUCAUUUCUCCAAAUAUAUCUACCUUGUGGCCCGGCAGACUCACAUCUAGGAAUGUAUUCAAUAGAAAUACUAGCUUGAGGCUGGGCGUGGCGGCUCACACCUGUAAUCCCAGCACUUCGGGAGGCUGAGGCAGGCAGAUCACUUGAGGUUAGGAGUUUGAGACCAGCCUGGCCAACAUAGAGAAAGCCCAUCUCUACUAAAAAAUACAAAAAUCAGCUGGGCAUGGUGGUGCACACCUGUAGUCCCAGCUACUCGGGAGACUGAGGCAGGAGAAUCGCUUGAACCCAGGAGGCGGAGGUUGCAGUGAGCUGAGAUCACACCACUGCACUCCAGCCUGGGCAAUAGAGGGCGAGUCUGUCUCAAAAAAGAAAAAAGGAAUACUAGUUUGAGGGCAGAAAGAUGAUGUGCUCAAUUCGUUCUUUGCAGCACAAUUGGAUCCAGUGGCAAUUAGGAAAUAAUUUUUUGCUAAAAACAAGUAGUCUAGGAGUUACAAGCCUGAACCCUCCAUUCAGAUGCAGGCAUUGUCACUUACAAGCUGUGGGAUGGGGCAAGCCAUUUAGUCCCUCUGUGCCCCAGUCUUCGGAGCUGCGAGAUGAGUGUAAGGAAAGUACCUGCUUUGUGGAGCUGGUAAGAGGAUUUAAAGAGCUAAUAUACGUAAAGUGCUUAAAACUGCUCCUGGACACUUAGUAAGCUCUGUAAUGGUUAGCAUUGAUGAAAGAGGAGAGAGAGGAAGACAGAAAGAAAGAGAGAGGGAGGGAAAGAGAGAGAGAAAGAAAGAAAGCUUGGAUGACCAUCAAAAGAAGAAAAAUAGUAGCUGGGCACAGCGGCUCACGCCUGUAAUCCCAACACUUUGGGAGGCCACUGUGUGGAUCACCUGAAGUCAGGAGUUUAAGACCAGCCUGGUCAACAUGGUGAAAACCCAUCUCUACUAAAAAUACAAAAAUUAGCCAGGCGUGGUGGCACACGCCUGUAAUCCCAGCUACUUGGGUGGCUGAGGCAGGAGAACUGCUUGGACCUGGGAGGUGGAGGUUGCAGUGAGCCCAGAUCAUGUCAUUGUACUCCAGCCUGGGUGACAGAGCAAGACUCCAUCUCAAAAAAAUAAAAUAAAAUAAAUGACAGUUAUCCCAUGGAAUACUCUGCAGCACAGAAAAGGAAGCCAGUAUACAUGUAUGGACUUGCUCACUAUAUAGAUCACUUUACUGUUCAGUAGAGAAAGCAAGCUGCAGAGCAAUUGAUGGAACAUAAUGCCAUUUUCACUUUUAAAAUACAUGAUGUGGGCCAGGCAUGGUGGCUCAUGCCUGUAAUCCCAGCACUUUGGGAGAAGGAGGCAGGAGGAUCACUUGAGGCUGGGAGUUCAAGACAGGCCUGGACAAUUUAAUGUGACCCUGUCUCUUCAAAAAAAUUAAAAAUAUAUAAAAAAAUAGUAAAAUAAAUGGUGUGUGUGCGUGUGUGCUUGGGCACGCGUAUGUGUACAUUAAAGAAGGGCCAGCAAGUUUACUCUCCAGAGUGUAGACCAGCAGUCCCCAACCUUUU
rnacentral:lncRNA from 1 species